rnacentral:rRNA from 1 species
AUACGGAGGGGACUAGCGUUGUUCGGAAUUACUGGGCGUAAAGCGCGCGUAGGCGGACUGAUCAGUUGGGGGUGAAAUCCCAGGGCUUAACCCUGGAACUGCCUCCAAUACUGUCAGUCUUGAGUUCGGGAGAGGUGAGUGGAAUUCCUAGUGUAGAGGUGAAAUUCGUAGAUAUUAGGAAGAACACCAGUGGCGAAGGCGGCUCACUGGUCCGAUACUGACGCUGAGGCGCGAAAGCGUGGGGAGCAAACAGGAUUAGAAACCCUAGUAGUCC